AGUGAACGCUGGCGGUAGGCCUAACACGUGCAAGUCGAACGGCAGCACAGUAAGAGCUUGCUCUUACGGGUGGCGAGUGGCGGACGGGUGAGGAAUACAUCGGAAUCUACUUUUUCGUGGGGGAUAACGUAGGGAAACUUACGCUAAUACCGCAUACGACCUACGGGUGAAAGCAGGGGAUCUUCGGACCUUUCGCGAUUGAAUGAGCCGAUGUCGCAUUAGCUAGUUGGCGGGGUAAAGGCCCACCAAGGCGUCGAUCCGUAGCUGGUCUGAGAGGAUGAUCAGCCACACUGGAACUGAGACACGGUCCAGACUCCUACGGGAGGCAGCAGUGGGGAAUAUUGGACAAUGGGCGCAAGCCUGAUCCAGCCAUACCGCGUGGGUGAAGAAGGCCUUCGGGUUGUAAAGCCCUUUUGUUGGGAAAGAAAAGCAGCAGGUUAAUACCCCGCUGUUCUGACGGUACCCAAAGAAUAAGCACCGGCUAACUUCGUG
rnacentral:rRNA from 1 species